AGCAACCUUUCGGUUCUUAUCCCAACGCUCCUACCCACCAAUGCUACGACAUCAGGGCGAUUUACUUGGUUUGAAAGAAGGAUGAAAGGAAGGCGAGACCUGGGAAACCUCGCUGCUCUUUCGCUCCUAGCUGGGGUCACCAUCUGUUAAUGUGAAUAUAAAAAAUCUCAGAUAAUAACUAUUGCAUUUGCACAAAAAAUAACUUGAAGCUAGUUUUAGUUUCCCUAACACUGAUAUGUUUCUCUUUGUCUUCCUAGGGUUACCUCAGUGGAAGCCAACUAUCUUCUCCAGUUGGAGCAGUUGGACGGUCAACCACUGAAAAUACUGACGCCCUAUACUUCGGUGAAGCCCGAUAGACAAAGACCAUCGACUGUCCAAACCCCCAAGAGGUAUCCCAUCCUCUGGUCUGUGGUCUGAGUCAGAGGGGGAACCAGCUUGAGGACCUAGGGGUUCUUCCCAACACCCAGACGUGGAUCCACCUGAUGUCCUCCAUUACCAACCACCCUUCAACGUUUCAUUACAUCAUCUACAGCUACUGUUGUUGUCAAGUUGUCAUUAUCUGCUAAGAACGUUUUCUUGCUCUAUCAUACUGGUCACAUAAUUAUGUGAGAUACACAGUUGAACUAAAAACAUUAGCACUGCAAACACUCAGAACAAAGAGAGCAGCAGUGCCUGGUCUCCCUCUUCAAGACCCCCUUCUAAGACUGGCUGCCUAUUGAGAACAAGUGACAGGCAGAACAUCCCACCCACUCAGUAACCACCUACUCUAUUUUCCACACACCAUAAUUCAGUAUUUUAGUCUAUGAUUGCCAUGCGAGGUUAUAAAAAAAUCUGUGAAAAUAAAUUAAUGACACAACUGUACCAACAGAUAUCAACGGUAAUGUAUUAAAAUCUUAAAUAUUGCCAGGUUGGUUUUCACAGUUGUUUCACAAGUUGUUCAUUGUAUGUUGUAAGAUAUCCUUUGAUGGUAUGUAUUUGUUCCACAUUAUUCAUUGUUGUAUCCCAGGACCUACAAUACAGUAUAUUCAAGCAUA